rnacentral:rRNA from 1 species
UACGCAGGGUGCGAGCGUUACUCGGAAUUACUGGGCGUAAAGCGUGCGCAGGCGGUUUUGUAAGCCAGAUGUGAAAUCCCCGGGCUUAACCUGGGAAUGGCAUUUGGGACUGCAAGGCUGGAGUACGGCAGAGGAGACUGGAAUUCCUGGUGUAGCAGUGAAAUGCGUAGAGAUCAGGAGGAAUACCGAUGGCGAAGGCAGGUCUCUGGGCUGAUACUGACGCUCAUGCACGAAAGCGUGGGGAGCAAACAGG